UCUGGGACAAGCCCUGGAAACGGGGUCUAAUACCGGAUAAUACUGUGCCCCUCAUGGGGGACGGUUGAAAGCUCCGGCGGUGCAGGAUGAGCCCGCGGCCUAUCAGCUUGUUGGUGGGGUAAUGGCCUACCAAGGCGACGACGGGUAGCCGGCCUGAGAGGGCGACCGGCCACACUGGGACUGAGACACGGCCCAGACUCCUACGGGAGGCAGCAGUGGGGAAUAUUGCACAAUGGGCGAAAGCCUGAUGCAGCGACGCCGCGUGAGGGAUGACGGCCUUCGGGUUGUAAACCUCUUUCAGCAGGGAAGAAGCGAAAGUGACGGUACCUGCAGAAGAAGCGCCGGCUAACUACGUGCCAGCAGCCGCGGUAAUACGUAGGGCGCAAGCGUUGUCCGGAAUUAUUGGGCGUAAAGAGCUCGUAGGCGGUCUGUCACGUCGGGUGUGAAAGCCCGGGGCUUAACCCCGGGUCUGCAUUCGAUACGGGCAGACUAGAGUGUGGUAGGGGAGAUCGGAAUUCCUGGUGUAGCGGUGAAAUGCGCAGAUAUCAGGAGGAACACCGGUGGCGAAGGCGGAUCUCUGGGCCAUUACUGACGCUGAGGAGCGAAAGCGUGGGGAGCGAACAGGAUUAGAUACCCUGGUAGUCCACGCCGUAAACGUUGGGAACUAGGUGUUGGCGACAUUCCACGUCGUCGGUGCCGCAGCUAACGCAUUAAGUUCCCCGCCUGG
rnacentral:rRNA from 1 species